rnacentral:lncRNA from 1 species
UUCUCAUCUCCAUCUCAAACGGCUGAUUUUCCUAAGAAACCCUACCUGCGGCGCUGAUUCACGUCGGUUUCUCAUCUCCAUCUCAAACAGCUUUCUCCCCGUCGUUCUUUUCUGAUCCCACCACACAAACCCUAAUUUCCUUCAAUCAACUUCCUCCCUGUCGUUCUUCUCUACCUAUCCAUUACGUUUGGGAGUUAAUUAGUGGACUUGCAAAUCGUGAAUGAGAUCUGCCUCUAAACGAAGGGCAUUGGAAUUACAUCAAUAUCAAGGCUAAUAAAACCCUUGGAUUUUAUGGAUUUUGAUCUCAUUUUUUGCCAUUGUCAAGCAAAACAAAGGUCCAGUGCGAGUUAGGUAUGUGAAAAUUUACUCAUAAAAUUAAGCAUCAAUUUGUUAUUAGAGAAGGCUUGCAUUUUGCUUUAUUUCAUUUAUGGAAACAAGCUUUGUGAUGACAAAGUUCCUGAUCGAAUUCACCGUACAUAUACUAUUUGGUAAUUUCAACCCAUUUUGAUAUGUUAUAUGUCCAGACUAUCACUUCUGAUCUUAGACUAAAUAUAUAUCAAACCGGUUGAAACAAUGUGUUGAACCGGCAAGAAAGGAAUCAAGGUUUUUCCUUUUAACUAAUUGAUUUUGGGCUUUAUGUGUUCUUCAAACCAGGUAUUUUAAUAUGUACCUUUUAUCCCAUAUGUUUACAUUUGCUUUUAAACUGAUUAUUAUUGAGACUUUAAGAAUCAUAAAUUGAUAGCUGGGUGUUUAAUGGAACAAAGCAGGUGACAAAAAAUGAAGAAAGAAAGUAGGGUCACUUUGAAAAUGGAAAAGUCAACAUGAAAUUCAAGUUCAACUAUGGACCAUGGUAUGAUAUAUUAAUU